UACCUUUGCGCCCGAAAAAAUUCGUACAUAAUAAUCAUUAAAUUAAUAUUGGAAUG
ncrna:Capnocytophaga sputigena ATCC 33612 S15-Flavobacteria ribosomal protein leader